rnacentral:tRNA from 1 species
GGGGAGAUUCCAGAGCGGCCAAAUGGGGCAGACUGUAAAUCUGUUGUCUUUCGACUUCGGAGGUUCGAAUCCUCCUCUCCCCA